CCGCCCGCCUUUCCCGUCCGAGCCCGCGAGCUGCGCUCUUGCCCGCGCCGGGGUCGGCGAGCCCGCGUCUGGGACCCCGCAGGUGGCCACCAUUACAUGCAAGUCAUCGGGGGGAGAGGGAGCCCGAAGGGGAUUCUGCUUACAGCUGCCGGGGUCCGGUUCCUCAGCUCCAGUACCCCCCGGGACAAUUUAGCAAAUGGAAAGCCAGCGGACAAGUGGCAGAAGACCAGAAGUUUAUUCUCUGGAGAAAUGGGCUAAGAGCAGUGCUGGACUCGGGGACACCAGGCCCAGGUGAGAUAAACACAAACUACAAUCCUAUAGGAUACAAGGUCCAUUGAGUCUGUGGAUGUACAUUGGCUGUGGAGCACUGACUGCAAAGUUAUACAUGGAUUUUCAACUGCGGGGAGGAUCAGCAACGCUAACCCCUAUGUUGUUCAAGGGCCCACGGUGCUGUCAGUCAAGAGAAAGAAAUGAAAAC
rnacentral:lncRNA from 1 species